GACGUAGGGCGCGAGCGUUGUCCGGAUUUAUUGGGCGUAAAGCGCUCGUAGGCGGUCUGUCGCGUCCGUUGUGAAAACUCGAGGCUCAACCUCGGGCUUGCAGUGGAUACGGGCAGACUAGAGUGCGGUAGGGGAGACUGGAAUUCCUGGUGUAGCGGUGGAAUGCGCAGAUAUCAGGAGGAACACCGAUGGCGAAGGCAGGUCUCUGGGCCGCAACUGACGCUGAGGAGCGAAAGCAUGGGGAGCAAACGGG
rnacentral:rRNA from 1 species